AACCUGGUUGAUCCUGCCAGUAGUCAUAUGCUUGUCUCAAAGACUAAGCCAUGCAUGUCUAAGUAUAAAUGCUAUACAAUGAAACUGCGAAUGGCUCAUUAAAACAGUUAUAGUUUAUAUGGUAAUCGAAUUUACAUGGAUAACCGUGGUAAUUCUAGAGCUAAUACAUGCUGUUAAGCCCAACUUAUGGAAGGGCCGUAUUUAUUAGAUAACAGACCAAUAUUCUUCGUGUCUAUUGUGGUGAAUCAUAGUAACUAAUCGGAUCGUAUGGGCUAGUCCCUCGACAAACCAUUCAAGUUUCUGCCCCAUCAGCUUUCGAUGGUAGUGUAUUGGACUACCAUGGCUUUCACGGGUAACGGAGGAUUAGGGUUCGACUCCGGAGAGGGAGCCUGAGAAACGGCUACCACAUCUAAGGAAGGCAGCAGGCGCGUAAAUUACCCAAUUCUGACUCAGAGAGGUAGUGACAAGAAAUAACGGGCAGGGACAUACGUCCCUGGACUGCAAUGAACCGAAUCUACACACCUUAGUAAGUAACAAUUGGAGGGCAAGUCUGGUGCCAGCAGCCGCGGUAAUCCCAGCUCCAAUAGCGUAUAUUAAAGUUGUUGCGGUUAAAAAGCUCGUAGUUGGAU
rnacentral:rRNA from 1 species